rnacentral:rRNA from 1 species
GUGUCAGCAGCCGCGGUAAUACGUAGGGGGCAAGCGUUGUCCGGAAUCAUUGGGCGUAAAGAGCGUGUAGGCGGCCUGGUAAGUCCGCUGUGAAAGUCCAGGGCUCAACCCUGGAAUGCCGGUGGAAACUGUCAGGCUCGAGUCCGGAAGAGGCGAGUGGAAUUCCUGGUGUAGCGGUGAAAUGCGCAGAUAUCAGGAGGAACACCAAUGGCGAAGGCAGCUCGCUGGGACGGUACUGACGCUGAGACGCGAAAGCGUGGGGAGCAAACAGGAUUAGAUACCCUGGUAGUCC